CGGAGACGCAGUCUCGCUCUGUCGCCCAGGCUGGAGUGCAGUGGCAUGACCUCAGCUCACUGUAACCUGCGCCUACCGGGUUCCAGCAAUUCUCCUGCCGCAGCCUCCUGAGUAGCUAGGAUUACAGGCGUGUGCCACCAGGCCCGGCUAAUUUUUGUAUUUCUAGUAGAGACGGGGUUUCGUCAUGUUGGCCAGGCGGGAGACCCAAGUUCUUAUUUCCAGAGGAAGCCUUCAGGUACUAGACUUCAGAGAGAAUAGGUUGUAAAAUGUUUAUCCGACAGACCUGGGGGCGUGGCUUCCAAUGAAGACCAGCCCUAGAAGGCGGGGCUGGGAGACUGCGAAGUCGGAGGGGUUGAGGGGGCUUCAGGCAGAGUGGGUGGAGCAAAGGAGAGGGCUCAGGCUUGGGGGCGGGACUUGGGUGGGUCCUCCAUUCUGGUUGGCCAAGCCUCUAUGUCCCAAAUAAAAGUCUCUACCUUCCCGAGAACUUAUUACAAUAGAACACCAGAUUUCCAGAGGUAUCUGCCAGUCCACAGAGUGAAUCACGUUUCCAUUCAUCCCGUUUCUUCUAUAGGCCCUUGAAGAGAGUUUUAACAUUUUCUUCUUAAAUCGGUUGUAUCUUUCGGUGAGGUUAACUCCUAGAGAUUACAUAUAAAUACAUUUAGUUUUUUUGCUCUUUUUUCCAACCGAUGGUUAUUGAGGAGUUCUGAGAGAUGAGAAACGUGCUGAUUUAAAUCACAAAUGUAGGCCAGACGCAGUCGCUCACACCUGUAAUCCUGGCACUUUGGGAGGUUGAGGCAGGAUCCUUUGAGCCCAGGAGUUCUAGACCAGCCUGGGCAACAUAGGGAGACCCUGUCUCUAUGAAACAUUAAAAUUAAAAUUAAAAAAAGAAAAAUAAAUAGCCCAGGUGCGAUGGCUCAAGCCUGUAAUCCCAGCACUUUGGGAGGCCGAGGCGGGUGGAUCAUCUGAGGUCAGGAGUUCGAGACCAGCCUGAACAAUAUGGUGAAACCCGCUUCUACUAAAAAUACGAAAAAUUAGUUUGGCGUGGUGGCGGGCGCCUGUAAUCCCAACUACUUGGGAGGCUGAGGCAGGAGAAUAGCUUGAACCCGGGAGGCGGAGGUUGCAGUGAGCCGAGAUCGCGCCAUUGCACUCCAGCCUGAGCGACAAGAGCAAAACUGUCUCAAACGAAACAAAACAAACCAAAAACCCAAUAAAAUACAAAAAUUAGCUGCGCGUGGUGGUGCACACCUGUAAUCCCAGCUACUCGGGAGGCUGAGGCAGGAGAAUCGCUUCAACCUGGGAGGCGGAGGUUGCAGGGAGCCGAGAUGGCGCCACUGCACUCCAGCCUGGGUGACAGACUGAGACUCCUUCUCUAUAAAAAAAAAAAAAAAGAAAUAGAAAAAAGAAAAAUGAAUAGGCCGGGCACGGUGGCUCACGCCUGUAAUCCCAGCACUUUGGGAGGCCGAGGCGGGCGGAUCACUUGAGGUCAAGGGUUCGAGACCAGCCUGGCUAACACGGUGAAACCUCGUUUCUACUAAAAAUACAAAAAGUUAUCCGGGCAUAGUGGUGCGUGCUUGUAAUCCCAGCUAGUCGGGAGGCUGUGGCAGGAGAAUUUCUUGAACUCAGAAGGCGGAGUUUGCAGUGAAUCAAGAUCACACCACUGCACUCCAGCCUGGGUAACAGAGGGAGACUCCGUCUCUUAAAAAAAAAAAAAAAAAAAAAAAAAAAAAAGCAAAAUAAGUAAAUAAAGUAGAUAACAGAUAUAAAAUAGUGUCCAGAUGAAACAAUAGAUGCCCAACAUCCUGGAAUGGGACAUCAAUUAAAAAAAAAAUAGAAAAGAACAAGAGAUGCCCAGCAAAUAGUUAUUUUCACUUUCCCCCUAACGAAGGGUGAAGAGGUCUACAAAUGUUCGCUGUUUCUCUUAAUUCCUGUGUUUUGAGAAUUAAGGAUUUAUAAGGCAAACCAAGUGAUGCGCUGUUGUCUUCUGGAGACCUAUGGUAUUACAUUUCAUCUCAAGCAGGUGCUUUUUGAAACUUACCUUUAAACCUUCCUUCCCUAUUGGAAAGUUAUCACUUGAAAAAGCAUUUUCAUCAUACCUGUAAUCCCAGCACUUUGGGAGGCUGAGGUGGACGGAUAACCUGAAGUCAGGAGUUCAAGACCAGCCUGGCAAACAUGGUCAAACCUCGUCUCUACUAAAAGUACGAAAAUUGGCCGGGCAUGGUGGCUCACACCUAUAAUCCCAGCACUUUGGGAGGCUGAGGCGGGUGGAUCACCUGAGGUCAGGAGUUCAAGACCAGCCUGGCCAACAUGAUAAAACCCCAUCUUGGCCGGGUGCGGUGACUCACGCCUGUAAUCCCAGCACUUUGGGAGGCCGAGGCGGGCGGAUCACGAGGUCAGGAGAUCGAGACCAUCCUGGCUAACACAGUGAAAUCCCGUCUCUACUAAAAAUACAAAAAAAUUACCUGGGUGUGGUGGCGGGCGCCUGUAGUCCCAGCUACUCGGGAAGCUGAGGCAGGAGAGUGGUGUGAACCUGGGAGGCAGAGCUUGCAGUGAGCCGAGAUCGCGCCACUGCACUCCAGCCUGGGCGACAAAGUGAGACUCCAUCUCAAAAAAAAAAAAAAGAAAGAAACCCCAUCUCUACUAAAAAUACAAAAAAUUUGCCAGGUGUGGUGGUGGGUGCCUGUAAUCCCAGCUACUUGGGAGGCUGAGGCAGGAGAAUCGCCCGAACCCAGGAGGCAGAGGUUGCAGUGAGCCGAGAUAGUGCCAUUGCACUCCAGCCUGGGCAACAAGAGCAAAACUCAAUCUCAAAAAAAAAAAAAAAAAGUACAAAAAUUAGCUGGUGUGGUGGUGCCCGCCUGUAAUCUCAGCUAUUCCUGUGGCUGAGGCAUAAGAAUUGCUUGAACCCACGAGGGUUCAAGUUGCAGUGAUCUGAGAUCGUGCCACUGCACUCCAGUCUGGGCAACAGAGCAAGGGGCCAGCAAAAAAAAAAAAAAAAAAAAAAAAAAGCCUUUUCCAAGCUGGGAUGGGGAUGGAACAACAGUUUGACAGAUGAGAAAACUGAGACUCAGAGUCAUCUACACACAGUAUUUCCACUUCAUCUCCAGGAAAUGACUGAAGGAAUUUAGGGAAUGUCUGUUAAUUUCUGAGGAAAGACAGAACAGCAAGUGCAAGGGCCCUGAGGCAGGAAGGCAGGACAAUGCUUCUGUAACAGCAGAAGCCCUGUGUCUGAAAUGGUUUAAGUGAGUUGGGUAGGAUGGAGACUAGCAGGAAGGAAGUCAAUUAUCAGUCAGAUCAUAUGGGGCCAUGAGAACAACUAAACAUUUUGGGUUUUACUAUGAGUGCAAUGCAAAGUCAUAGAAGGGUCUGAGCUACUGGAGCAAUAUUAUCUGAUAUAUAUUUUAAGAAUAUCUGUCUGUCAUUUGUACAACUCUUGGGAAUCAAAGGUAGAAUCAGGGAGCGUAAUUGGAAAGUUAAGGCAAUAAUCCCGAUGAGAAGAAAGUGGUUUGGAAAGUUGGUAGCAGGGGACAGAGGGGUUGUGGCGUGGUCUGAGGCUAAAGUGGAGGUAGAUCCAAGAGCUAUCUGCUGAUGGAUUUUCUUUCUUUCUUUUUCUUUUUUUUAGAGACAGUCUCACUCUGUCACCCAGACUGGUGUGCAAUGGCACAAUCAUAGCUCACUGCAGCAUGGAACUCCUGGACUCAAGUGAUUCUUCCACCUCAGCCUCCUCAGUAGCUGGGACUACAGGCGCCCACCACCACAGUCAGCUAUUUUUUUUUCUUUUUGUAGAGAUGGUAUGUCACUAUGUUGCCCAAGCUUGGCUCUAACUCCUGGCCUCAAUCGAUCCUCCUGCCGUGGGCUCCCAAAGUGUGGGAUUAUAGGCAUGAGUUACCAAGCUUGUAACCGCCUAACUGCCUAGAGCUGAUUUACCAAUACAGGAAAUUGCAAUAAAGAAAGAGUUUCAUUCAUGCAGAGCCAGCUAGCCGUACAGGAGACCAAAAUUUUACUAUUAUUCAGAUCAGUCUCCCUGAAAACUCUGGGAUCAGGGGGUUUGUUUGUUUGUUUGUUUUGAGACAGAGUUUCGCUCUUGUCACCCAAGCUGGAGUGUAAUGGCGCCACCUCAGCUCACUGUAACCUCUUCCUCCUGGGUUUAAGAGAUUCUCCUGCCAGUAGCUGGGAUUACAGGUGGCCACCACCAUGCCUGGCUAAUUUUUCUAUUUUUUUUUAGUAGAGACGGGGUUUCACCAUGUUGGCCAGGCUGGUCUUGAACUCCUGACCUCAGGUGAUCCACCUGCCUUGGCCUCCCAAUGUGCUGGGAUUACAGGCGUGAUCCACCGCACCUGGCCUGAGAUCGUGGUUUUUAAGGAUAAUUUGAGAUAAUUUUAAGGAUAAUAGGGGGUCUGAAAGUGGGAAGUGCUGAUUGGUUGAGUCUGAGAUGAAAUCACAGGGAGUGGAACCUGUCCUGUUGCUCUGAGUCAGUUCCUGGGUGGGAACCACAAGACCAGAUGAGCCGGUUUAUCCAUCUAGGCGGCCUCAACUUGUGCACUGAAACACAGGGUCUGCAAAAUAUCUCAAGCACUGAUUCUAGGUUUUACGAUAGUGAUUUUAUCCCUAGGAGCAAUUUGGGGAGGUCCAGAAUAUUGCACCCACCAGCUGCAUGACUCCUAAACCAUAAUUUCUUAUCUGUGGCUAAUGUGUUAGUCCUGCAAAGGCAGUCUAGUCUCCAGGGAAAAGGAGGUUUGUUUUGGGAAAGCAUUAUUGUUGUUUUUGUUUCAAAGUUAAACUAUAAACUAAGUUCAUCCCAAACUUAGUUUGGCCUAUGUCCAGGAAUGAACAAGGACAGUGUGGAGGUUAGAAGCAAGAUGCAGUUAGUUUGGUCAGAUCUCUUUCCCUGUAAUCAGUUUCUCAGUUAUAAUUUUUGCAAAGGUGGUUUCAAGCCCAGUACCCAGGGCUCGUAAGAAAGACAUUCAGCUAGGCGCGGUGGCUCACGCCUGUAAUCCCAGCACUUUGGGAGACCGAGGUGGGUGGAUCACGAGGUGAGCAGAUCGAGACCAUCCUGGCUAACACAGUGAAACCCCGUCUCUACUAAAAACAAAACACAAAAGAUUAGCUGGGCGUGGUGGCAGGUGCAUGUAGUCCCAGCUACUCGGGAGGCUCAGGCAGGAGAAUCGCUUGAACCCGGGAGGCGGAGGUUGCAGUGAGCCGAUAUCGCACCACUGCACUCCAGCCUGGGUGACAGAGUGAGACUCCAUCUCAAAAAAAAAAAAAAAAAAAAAAAAAGACAUUCAGGUCGUGCGCGGUGGCUCACCCCAGUAAUCCCAGCACUUUGGGAGGCUGAGACAGGCAGAUCACAUGAGGUCAGGAGUUUGAGAGCAGCCUGGCCAACAUGGUGAAACUCCAUCUCUACUAAAAAUAAAAAAUUAGCCGGGUGUGGUGGCAUGCACCUGUAAUCCCAGCUACUCGGGAGGCUGAGGAAGGAGAAUCACUUGAACCCGGAGGUGGAGGUUGCAGUGAGCCGAGAUCGCGCCACUGCACUCCAGCCUGGGCAACAGAGUGAGACUCAGCUUCAAAAAAAAAAAGAAAGAAAGAAAAAAGAAAGACAUUCAAUUAAGCUUCUUCCUUUUCCCACAGACUCUAGAGUUUAACGUCUUCAGUGGGAAUCAGCAUGGACGUUCAGAACAGUCCCUCCUUAAACACAAAGACAUUUCCUACCUCGUACCUCAUAAUCACAUGAUAGAAGGGGUGAGAAUGUCUCCACGGCCAAUCCCAUACAGGGGUGUUCAAGAAUACAGUUAUGGGUUGUUAGUUUUUGUUUCUGGUUGGGCCUGCAAAGCCUCUUCCUCAUCCCUCUUUUCCACUUAUCACUAGAAACAGAAACUAAAAACCAUGGCUUCAGGCUGCUACAAGCCUAAAACAAAACAAAACAAGACAACAACAACAAAAUAAGGCGACUUGGACAAACUUGCUAGUAAAUCCAUUAACGAAGGCCCCGCCCUCAUGAUCUAAUCACCUCCCUGAGGCCUCAUAUCCUAAUUUCAUCACUUCUGCGGUUAGGAUUUAAGCAUUUGGCUUUGCGGAGUGGUGGUGUGGAGGCAGGACACACACAACAUACAACCUUCAGACCAUAGUGAGGUAGGAGACUGGGUAGGACUUACUUUGUUUCCUGGUCCCAACAGGAUAAAGUGAAGAAGCCACCGGGAACCAGCAGAUGGCACCAAAAGCCAUCUCUAGUUGCUCUCCUUGCUUGUUAGGGUAAGACACUCCUACCAGAGUCAUGACAGUUGAUAAGUACCAUGGCAACAACAUGAAAGUUACCAUUCACUUCCAUAACAAUCACCUGGAAGUUAUAGCCUCCUUUCUAGAAAGUUCUGCAUGGCACACCCCUUAAUUUGCAUGUAAUUAAAAGUGAGUAUAACUAUAGCUAGCCAACAGCACAAAAUGCUGAUUCUGGGCACACUGCAUAGGUUUUAGCUGUACUCUGGAAAAAGCAACUCUGAGUGAAUGAAAGAUCCUUGUGUAGCACCACCAGUUAAAUUCUUUCCUGGGUGAAUCCCCAAUGAUGGCACUUACCUGCAUCAGUAGCACACUUCUAUUUCCUUAGGCACCUGCUUAUAAGCUAAAACUGCCUACUUGCCAAAAAGAUAUAAGAAUUUUUAUUUUUCAUUUGGAUAAAGGCAAUUAGUUAACACAAAUGGCCACCCCAAUUACCAAACUUAGGAUGAACUUCAACAACAUUGUUAACACAGUCAUUGUGUUGUGAAUUCUUUUUUUUUUUUUUUUUUUUUUUUGAGACAGAGUCUUGCUCUGUUGCCCAGGCUGGAGUGCACUGGCGAGAUCUCAGCUCACUGCAACCUCCACCUCCUGGGUUCAAGCGAUUCUCCUGCCUUAGUCUCCCAAGUAGCUGGGACUCAACACACCCAGCUAAUUCUUUUGUAUUUUUAAUAGACAUGGGGUUUCACCAUGUAGCCAGGCUGGUCCUGACCUCCUGAAUUCAGGUGAUCCAUCCACCUCAGCCUCCCAAAGUGCUGGGAUUACAGGCAUGAAAACCAGCACACCCGGCCCACCUGUGCACUGUUAGUGAGACUAUAAAAUGGUGCAGCAGCUAUGAAAACCAGUAUGGCAGUGGUUCAAAAAAUUAAAAUUGAUAUUAUCACAUGAUCUAGCAAUCCCACUUCUGGGUAUAUAUCUAAAAGAAUGGAAAACAGGCUCUCAAAAAGAUAUUUGACCACCCACGUUUAUAGCAGCAUUAUUCAUAAUAGCCAAGAACACACCUCAUUCAUAAGGGUGUAUUUUGGGGCUUUCUAUUCUAUUUAUUGGUUUAAUUUAUUUACCACUACACCAAUAUUACUGUCUUUUUUUUUUGCGACGGAGUCUCGCUCUGUCUCCCAGGCUGGAGUGCAGUGGCACGAUCUCUGCUCGCUGCAAGCUCCACCUCCCGGGUUCAUGCCAUUCUCCUGCCUCAGCCUCCUGAGUAGCUGGGACUACAGGUGCCUGCCACCACGCCCGGCUAUUUUUUGUAUUUUUAGUAGAGACGGGGUUUCACCGUGUCAGCCAGGAUGGUCUCGAUCUCCUGACCUGGUGAACCGCCUGCCUCGGCCUCCCAAAGUGUUGCGAUUACAGGCGUAAGCCACCGUGCCCGACCCUGUCUUUCUAUUUCUUAAUGUCUGUAGGGUAAGUGCCAACAGUUCUUCAGGAGUAUUUUGGGUUUUACUGGCCUUUUGUACUUCCACAUACAUACAUUUUAUUAUAAGUAGAUCAGGUUCUUCAUCAAAACAUGUUAUUUUGACUGAAAACUUGUUAACUUUCUAUAUUAAGUAAGAAAAAUUCAAGUCUUUAUAUUGAAACUUCUAAUCCAUCAAUAAGGAAGGUCUAUCCAUUGAUCUAGGUCAUCUUUGAUUUCUUUCAAUAGUAGUUUACAAAUUUCUUGGAAGAGAUAUUGCAUACUUUUUUGUUGUAUUUAUUUCUACUUAUUUUAUUGCUGUUGUAAUAUUGCUGUUAAAAGAGACAAGUCGGCCGGGUGCGGUGGCUCACGCCUGUAAUCCCAGCACUUUGGGAUGCCGAGGCCAGCGGAAUACCUGAGGUCAGGAGUUCCAGACCGGCCUGGCCAACGUGGCGAAGCCCCGUCUCUACUAAAAACAUACAAAAAUUAGCUGGGCGUGGUGGCAUGCGCCUGUAAUCCCAGCUACUCAGGGGCCUGAGGCAGGAGAAUCGCUUGAACCAGGGAGGUGGAGGUUGCAGCAAGCCAAGAUCAAGCCACUGCAUUCCAGCCUGGGCGACAGAGCAAGACUCCGUCAAAAAAAAAAAAAAAAAAAAAAAAAAAAAAAAGAGAGAGAGACAAGACAAUUAUCUUUGCAUAUUGAGUUUUUAGCCACUAUUCUUGCUAACCCGCACAUUAUGUGUAACAAUUUAGAUUCUUUUGGAUCUCCCACUUAGACAAUUUUGUUGUCUGUAAAUAAUGGCAGAAAAGAAAUGUAGAUAAUGUUUCUUCCAAUUUCUUUUUCAGACAGGGCCUUCCUCUGUCACCCCAGCUGGAGUGCAAUGGCGCCAUCUCAGCUCACUACAACCUCUGCCUCCGGGCUCAAGUGAUCCUCCUAUGUCAGUCUCCGAAGUAGCUGGGACUAUAGACAUGCAUCACCAUGCCUGGCUAAUUUUUGUAUUUUUAAAAAUUGAGACAGGGUUUUGCCAUCUUGCCCAGGCUGGUCUCAAACUCCUGAACUCAAAGCGAUCUUCCUUCCAAAGUGUUAGGAUCUCAGGCGUGAGCCGCGCGUGGCCGUAACUACAAUGCUUGAUAGAAUUCAUGAGAGUGGGCAUCGUUGCUGUACUCCUGAGCUUAGAACAGUUUUCAGUAUUUCACUACAAUGUUAGCUGUAGAUUUUUUUACAUGCUCUUUAUCAGUUUGUUGAGAGAUGUUGAGAAUGGGCCCGGUGCGGUGGUUCAUACCUGCAAUCCCAGCUCUUUGGGACGCCAAGGAGGGAAGAUCGCUUGAGCUGAGGAGUUCGCGACCAGCCUGGGCAAUAUAGUGUGACCUCCCAUCUCCACGAAAAAUUUAAAAAUUAGCCUGCUGUGGUGUCACGAGCCUGUAGUCCCAGCUACUGUUGAAUUUGAGGGAAGAUCGCUUGAGCCCAGGGAUUGGAGGUUUCCGUGAGCCGUGAUCGAGCCACUGCACUCCAGCCUGUGCGACACAGGAAGACCCUGACCUAUAAAAACGCAAACGAAGUAGUGAAGAGAGAUGUAUCAGUUAUCUACUGCCGUAUAACAAACCACCAGGCAACAGCGCAUCCUCGUACAAGCCGCAUAAAUGCAGAGGAAAGCGAGCAGAGGCAUUUCGAGGUCCCGCCCAACAGACUCCCUCCAUCGUGGUCCCGCCUCCACCCCAUGCCGCCGCCGGGUUCCGCCCCCACGGUGCCCAGUGAAGCCGGAGGGACGGGGUCCAAUCGCUGUCGGCUGCGCGGAAACUGGGACUUCUCCCCAGGGUCGUGGAGGACGCGGCCGCCGACCCUCCCACCACCUCACGCCUCGGAGACCGGGUCCAGAGCCCUCAGCCGCUUCCGAGCCCCGAGAGGGGAAUCAGAAGUGCGCGUGAGCAGAGCGGCACCCCCUUCCCAGGAAUCGCAGCUGAACCUAUGGUUUCCCCUGCACCAGCCUUUGCGACCAGGUGGGGCUUCAGGUGCGGCUUCGCCACGUGGAGACCAGAAGACCAUGUAGCACCAAAAAGAUAGCUGCAAAGCGGAAUAAAGUUGGGGAAAACAAUCUGCUGGCCGGAAGAGAGUAAGAUGCAGGAGGAUGAUUGCUGGUUCUCCGAAGCACGAGUCAGGGAGGCCAUGAGAUGGAAGAGCCACCCCACAAUGGGAAGAACCUGGAGACAAGGUUCUCCUUGUCUAUGCCCAAGAGAAGCCACCCUUCAGGAGAGAGUUUCUGAGUUUCAUGAACUUGGGGAACAUUCUAAACCUAUUCAAAAUAUGCUUACUCACAGAGAGGUCUCACAAGUAGGCACGUCGUCCAUAAAUGAGACUCGCAUGUUGAAUAUUUACACAGAAUUCAGUUUUUGUUUAGAUGACUAUCAGAAUAAAAUAUGUGUAUGAAAAGCCUUAUGAAUGUCAUGACUAUAAUGGAACCUAUGGCAAAGCAUUCAUCGUACUCAAUUUGAAGGAAUUCAGACAAGGCAGAAGCAGUCUAGGUGCUCUGAAAAUGGCAGUAAUUUUUUUUUUUUUUUUGCGACAGAGUCUCGCGUCUUGCUCUGUCACCCAGGCUGGGUUGCAGUGGCAUGAUCUCGGCUCCUGCAAUCUUCUCCUCCCGGGUUCAAGCGAUUCUCCCACAUCAGCCUCCCAACUGGCUGGGAUUACAGGCAUAUACCACCACGCCCGGCUAAUCUUUGCAUUUUUAGUAGAGAUGAGUUUUCACCAUGUUGGCCAUGCUGGUCUCAAACUCCUGACCACAACUGAUCCGCCCACUUCGGCCUCCAAAUGUGCUGGGAUUAUAGGCAUGAGCCACCACACCCAACCUAAAUGGCAGCAGCUUCUAAUGUAGCAAUGCACUUGCUUUCUUGUCAAGACAGACUUUCCAUGGGGGAGAAUCCCUAUGAGUGCAAUAAGAGUGACAAAGUCUUCAGUUGAUUAGUUAUCCCUUAAUUGACAGGCAUCGACUCAACGUGGUGAGAAGCCACAUGUACAUAAUCCAUGUGGAAAAACCAGGCCUGGAGCGGUGGCUCACGUCUGUAAUCCCAACACUUUGAAGACUGAUUACAAACUGGGAGGUUGAGGUAGGAGAAUCCCUUGAGCCCAGGAGUUCAAGACCAACCUGGGCAAUAUAGUGCAACCGCUAUCUCCACAAAAAAUUAGCCUGCUGUGGUGUCACGAGCCUGUAGUCCCACCUACUGGAGGAAUUGAGGCCGGAGGGUCGCUUUAGCCCAGGGGUUGGAGGCUGCAGUGGUGAGGGUCUCGGUGAGGGGGAGAUGGGGGCGGGCACCCGGUGAGGGACAGACGGGGGCGGGAGCCAUGAUUGCGCCACUCACUCCAGCCUGGGCAACAGAGGGAGAUCUUGACCUUAAAAAAACCCUCUUCACUAUUAUUUUUGGUAUAAAAUAAAAAAUUAUUUAAAAAUUGUAUUAGGAAAUAAAAAUAUUAGUGAAAAGGGAUGUAUCAGUUAUCUACUGCUGUAUAACAAACCACCCGGAAACAGCGCAUACUCGUACAUGGCGGCAUAAACGCAGAGGAAAGCGAGCAGAGGCAUUUCGAGGUGCAGCCCAACCGACUCCCUCCAUCAUGGUCCAGCCCCCAUACGUCCUCCCGCCGGGUUCCGCCCCCACGGUCCCCAGUGAAGCCGGAGGGCGGGGUCCAAUCGCGCUUGGCUGCGCGGAAACUAGGACUUCUCCCCAGAGUUGCGGAGGACGCGGCCGCCGCCCCUCCCAACUCCUCAGGCCUCCGAGGCCGGGUCCAGAGCCCUCACUUCCUUCUGAAACCCUGGAGCGGAAUCAGAAGUGCGCGUGGCCAGAGCGGCGCCUCCUGCCCUUUAGCCGCCGCUGGCCCAACGGUUUCCCCAGCAGUAGCCUCUGCGACCAGGUGCAGCUUCAGGUCAUUUUUUCCAGGACACUUUCUGUCUUCAUGACAGGAACAUCGAGAAGCCAAGGCUAGUGGCUGGGUUACUGAUGGAUUACUGAUGGAUUCUUCUCAGCACUUAGUGACCUUUGAGGAUGUGGCUGUGGACUUUACCCAGGAGGAGUGGACUUUGUUGGAUCAAGCCCAGAGAGAUCUCUACAGAGAUGUGAUGUUGGAGAACUACAAGAAUCUCAUUAUACUAGAAUUGGAUUUGCAACUCAAAACCAAAGGCUUCCCACUGCUGCAAGAUAUUUCUGCAGAAAGAUCACCAAAUGGAGUACAAUUGGAGAGAAGCAAUACUGCAGAGAAACUGUAUGAUUCUAACCAUUCUGGAAAAGUCUUCAAUGAACACCCAUUUCUUAUGACUUACAUGAUAACUCACAUUGGAGAGAAAACUUCUGAGGAUAAUCAGAGUGGAAAAGCCUUAAGAAAGAACUUUCCUCAUAGUUUUUACAAGAAAAGUCAUGCUGAGGGGAAAAUGCCUAAGUGUGUUAAACAUGAAAAAGCCUUCAACCAGUUUCCAAAUCUUACUAGGCAGAAUAAAACUCACACACAAGAGAAAUUGUGUGAAUGCAAAGACUGUUGGAGAACUUUUCUUAAUCAGUCAUCCCUUAAGUUACAUAUAAGAUCUCACAAUGGAGACAAACACUGUGUAUGUAAGGAAUGUGGGAAAGCCUUCAGUAAUUCCUCACACCUUAUAGGACAUGGAAGAAUUCACAGUGGAGAGAAGCCCUAUGUCUGUAAAGAAUGUGGUAAAGCUUUCACUCAAUCCACAGGACUUAAAUUACACAUCAGAACUCACAGUGGAGAAAAACCAUAUAAAUGUAAAGACUGUGGGAAAGCCUUCACCCAUUCUUCAUACCUUGCUGAUCAUACAAGAAUCCACAGUGGAAAGAAGCCCUAUGUAUGUAUGGAAUGUGGAAAAGCCUUCACUAGAUCCACAGGACUUAUUUUACACAUGCGAAUUCACACUGGAGAAAAGCCAUAUGAAUAGAUGAAGUUUCGUCAUGUUGUCCAGGCUGGUGUCAAACUCCUGACUUCAGGUGAUCCACCCACCUUGGCCUCCCAAAGUGCUGGGAUUACGGACGUGAGCCACCACACCCGCCCUUGAAAUACUGUUUCUAAAAGGACGCUCCUGCCCUCGAACAUCAGACUUCAAGUUCUUCAGUUUUGGAACUCAGACUGGCUCUCCUCGCUCCUCAGCCUGCAGACAGCCUAUUGUGGGACCUUGUGAUCCUAAAUUGACAAGUGAAUCCUAAACUUCAAACAGAAAUGGAAAAAACACCAAAUAGCCAAAACAAUUGUGAAAAAGAGGAACACAGUUGAAGGACUCCCAUUUCUGGAUUUCAAAACUUACUACAAAGUUGCAGUAAUCAAAACAAUGUGGCACUGGCUUAGGGACAGAGCUACAGAUUAAUGGUAUAGAAUUGAGAGUCCAGGGCCAGGGCGCGGUGGCUCAUGCCUGUAAUCCCACCACUUUGGGAGGCCCACACAGGCCGAUUACUUGGGGCCAGGCCCCACCUUCCUCCCUGCCCUUCUACCAUCCACAGGACUGGACCUGAUCUCAACCUGGUAUUCUGGGCUUGGACCCACCUUCUGCUCUGCCCCCAAACAUGGCUCCUCCCCCAGCGUAGUCCAGCCCACAGGCCUGAUUCUAACCUCAAGCUCGUCCUCUGGGCCCGGCCUCACCUUCCUCCUGGUCCUCUAGCGUGGGCCCGUGCCCCUGGCCCAUAGCUCCCUCCACAGGCCUGACUAACUUCAACCUUGUUCUCUGAACCUGGGGACUCCAGCUUCCUCUGUGAGUCCACAGCAAGUCUCAGCUGCACCCACGCGGGAGGAAACUAGAAUUUCUCGACGUGAUGUCUUCCAGCAAGGCUGAAGCACGAGCAGCAGAGCCUCUCCUAGCUGGAGGCUGUAAGCGGAAGUGACGCGAGCGAGGCGCCACCCUCUUUUCCGGUACUGGCUCCGCGAGCCUGAGCGAGGUUUCCCCAUGGUUGUCCUUGAUUUCGGAGGGAGCAAGUGUACUGGUAGUGGAACGGGUGGUGAGAGUUGAAGUUUAUCCGAAGCUGCCGAGGGGCCUUCUUAGAGAGGCUUGGCCUGCUGUGCUCGCGUCAGGUAGGUCUGCGAGGCCGCUCGUGCUGUCAGUCCUCGCGAAGGUCGGGGUCGAUAAUUGCCGCGCUCACCCAUAGAGUUCCCUUCAAAAGCCUCCAAAAAGACCAUUGUGAGUUUUUUCUAUGAGGAAAAGAAUUUCUUCCACUUGAGCCACGUUAACUUGUCCCCCAUCGUCGUCCUGCCUUACAGACCCUGCGAUUCCCGCGCAUUCCGGUGAGCAUUGGGUGAGGGAUGGUUCAAGGGGGCAUCUUGUUAUACGAACGAAUGUUUCACCUGAGAAUGUUCCUUUGUUUAUGCGUCAUAAACGUACUUUUGACGCCUUACAUUCUGUUAUAAAGACACUUUAAUAAGUAUCCAGGGAGUGCAUAUUUCUCUACGGAAAUAUAAAAUUAUGUAGACCACAAACAGGUCUUUCUACUGAAGAAAAAUAAGAAUGCUAAGCUAUUUUGAUCUGAACUUCGUAGGCCUGGACCUCCCCACAGAUUUUAAAAACAGGCGCUGGCCAGGUGCGGUGGCUCACGCCUGUAAUCCCAGCACUUAGGGAGACCGAGGCAGGCAAAUCACCUGAGGUCAGGAGUUUGAGACCAGCCUGGCCAACAUGGCAAAACCUCGUCUCUACUAAAAGUACAAAAAAAUUAGCCAGGCGUGGUGGCGCACGUCUGUAAUCCCAAUUACUUGGGAGGCUUAGGCAGGAGAAUCACUUGAAUCCAGGAGGAGGAAGUUAGUGAGCUGAGAUCGUGCCACUGCACUCCAGCUGGGGUGACAGAGCGAGACUCUGUCUCAAAAACAACAACAACAAAAAACCCAAGCAAACGAACAAACCAGGGGCCCACCCGGGGUACGGGGUCUCGUACCCGGGGUACAAGACCAAUCUGGGCAACAUAGCGAGACCCCGUCUUUACAAAAAAAAAAAAAAAAAAAAAUUAAAAAUCAGCCAGAGAUGGUGGUGUGUGCCAGCUACUCGGAAGGCUGAGGCGGGAGAAUCACUUGAGACAGAGAGUUCCAGACUACAGUGAGCUAUGAUCACGCCAUUGUUCUCCAGCCUGGGCUACAGAGCAAGACCUUGCCUCUUAAACAAAAAGACAAAAAUGGGCACCCAGGAGGAAAGGAUAUAGAUUUUGUUGCACUAGUAUUAGGAAUCAAAUUUACCAUUCGCCCUCUCCCUAGAAAACUAAAAUACCUUUUAUGGUGAAGUAUUUGAGGGUAAGUUGAAAAUUGCAGGAAAUUGAUACUUGACUUUCAGGUAGUUGGUAAUGCAUUUUCUAAAGAUAAAGGAUACUGGUCUACUAAAACCACAGUAUUUGUAUUUCAACCAAGAAAAAUUAAAAAAAAGUCAUUUAGGCUGGGCACAGUGGCUCACACCUGUAAUCCCAGCACUUUGGAAGGCCGAGGCGGGUGGCUCACUUGAGGCCAGGAGUUCGAGACCAGCCUGGCCAACAUGGCGAAACCCCAUCUCUACUAUAAAUAAAUAAAUAAAGCCAGCACCGGUGAUCCCACCAGCUGAGACGGGAGAAUCACAUGAACUCGGGAGGUGGAGGUUGCAGUGAGCCGAGAUCGCGCCACUGCAUUCCAGCCUGGGUGGCAGAAGGAGACUGUGCCUCAAAAAAAAAAAAGAACGACUCAUCUAGUAUCUACUUUGUAAAAACAAAAUUCUCUACAUGGUUCCAAAAUAGGCCCUUGGGACCUAAGAUCUAUUUAAAGUUUAUGGCCUUUAGUAUCUUUGAACCUAGACCAGUUACUAUUGUUUCUCUGUCAAAUCAACUUUUUGAAGAGUCACAUAUUAUUUCAGAAAGACACCCAUUUUAAUAUUUCUGAUUGUAGUCUUAUGGUGUGUUUAACUAUUUCUUUUAUUUUUUGUAUUUCUUAUAAAGUGAUUAAUGCUAAUGGUUCAUUAAGGCAUAAUGAAAAAAAAAAAAUCCAACCAAGGGCUGCUCUUAGGGAACUUGUAAACUAGUGGAGGGGCAGACGUCUAACCAAGCAAAUAAAUGUUUCAUUACAAUUUUUUUUUUUUAAUUGAGACAGAGUCUCCCUCUGUUGCCCAGGCUGGAGUCCAGUUGUGCCAUCUCUGCUCACUGCAACCUCCGCCUCUCAGAUUCAAGCAAGUCUCAUGUCUCAGCCUCCCAAGUAGCUGAGAUUACAGGCAUGCGCCACCACGCCUGGCUAGAGAUGGGGGUUUCAUCCUGUUGGCCUGGCUGGUCUUGAACUCCUGACUUCAGGUGAUCCACCUGCCUCAGCCUCCCAAAGUGCUGGGAUUACAAGCGUGAGCCACUGCGCUUGACUUAUUAUUACAAAUUGAUGAGCGUUUUGGAAGUAGAGGACAGUAUUGUUUUCUAUGUGUAUAUAUGGGAAUAGAUGAAUGUAAGAAAAGUGAGUUCUAUUUAAGGUGAGACCAAAAAGAUGGUGUCUAAAUAAGCCAUAUUGAAAGGAAAGGGAGUAGGAGUUAAGGAAAGCAUCAUAUAAAUUGGCUGAUUACAUAUGUACGGUGAGAGGUGAGUACAUCAAGGGUUUUUCUUAGGUUUGAUAGAAUUUUCUUUGGGGAUUAAAAUGAGGGAUGAAUCUAAUCUACAACAUUAUAACUACAGAAAAAAUGAUGUCUAAUCAUCACUUUAUUCUACUCAUGAAAAACUAAUUUUCUUAAGUAGGAAAUUAAUUGAAAGAAUCAGAAUCAGUGGCUGGCUGAGCACUUGAAAAUAAGUUCUACGUGAAAAUUCACUUAAUUAUCAAUCUUAGCAAAUAUGUGUUCAUAUAUGGAAGGGCAAGGCUCUCCUUGGUGUUCAGUCCAACUUUGGGUUCUUCCUACCCAAAGUAGGACUCCAUUUCCCAGAAGAAAUGUACAGAGUUACCAGUCCCGUGUGAGACUCCUAUGUCACCGACACAUCUACUCACUCCAUGGGUAAAUGAAAUCAGAAGACUCCCUUGCUGACAUGGGCUGCCAGAAAGCUCUGAAGGAACCAUGAGGCUUAAAAAUACCCACAUUGGGCCAGGCACGGUGGCUCACGCCUGUAAUCCCAGCACUUUGGGAGGCCGAGGAGGGUGAAUCAUGAGGUCAGGAGUUCAAAACCAGCCUGGCCACGAUGGUGAAACCCCGUCUCUACUAAAAAUACAAAGAUUAGCUGGGCGUGGUCCUGGGCACCUGUAAUCCCAGCUACUGGGGAGGCUGAGGCAGAGAAUUGCUUGACCCCAGGAGGCGGAGGUUGCAGUGAGCUGAGAUCGUGCCACUGCACUACAGCCUGGGCAACAGAGCAAGACUCUUGUCUCAAAAAAAAAAAAAAAAAAGAAAUACUCACAUUACCAUCUGUAUUUGUCACUUAGGGGUCCCAGUGAGCUAGCUGGACAUAGAGAAAAAAAUGGUAUGUUCUGAAGAUAAAGCUGAUGAGGAUGUGCAUAUUCUGCUGGUUGCAGAGAGUAUUAGAGAAAAUUUCAAAAACUAUUGGCAACAUCUACUAAAUUUGUACACGUACAUGCGCUCUAACAUAAGAGUAAUGGCUCCAGUGUGCAUCAAGAUAACAGUAAAAACAUUUCACCAGCAUUAUUUGAUGUAAUCCUCAAUUGGAAAUUACUCAAAUGAGAUCAACAGAAUGGGUAAAUUGUGGCAUAAUUAUACUACUGGAAUGCUCUACAGCAAAUGAAGUAAUAAAGGUAGAUACAGUGAUAUGGAUCAGCUUCACUAACAUAAUCUUAAGAUCACGUGUUAAGCCAGGCACGGUGGCUCACGCCUGUAAUCCCAACAAUUUGGGAGGCUGGGGCAGGUGGAUCAUGAGGUCAGGAGUUUGAGACCAGCCUGACCAAUGUGGUGAAACCCCGUCUCUACUAAAAAUACCAAAAAAAAAAAAAUUAGGUGUGGGGGCGUGCGCCUGUAAUCCCAGCUACUCAGAAGGGCUGAGGCAGGAGAAUCACUUCAACCCAGGAGACGGAGGUUGCAGUGAGCCGAGAUCACGCCACUGCACUCCAGCCUAGGUGACAGAGCGAGACUCCGUCUCAAAAAAAAAAAAAAAAAAAAAAAAAAAAUCACCGGUCAGUUGUUUCUACCUAGUACCAGAGCCAAGGUGUUUCUCAAAAAGAGGGUAGUUUCCUGCAGAAGAUGGCAUGGAUUUGCUCCACACUACUGUGCUGUGCGUCUCCUAUUGGUGCUUGCCAGAGAAGGCUAUGGAGGCAUUGAGUAUGAUUGGAUCUGCUAGAUCAUUUGGACUAAGUGCUUGAGAAUGUUAUAGAGCAGCCUGAACUUGAUGCAGGGCACUUUGCUUUGUUUUUUUGUUUUGUUUUGUUUUUUUGAGAUGGAGUUUUGCUCUGUCACCCAGGCUGGAGUGCAAUGGCACAAUCUCAGCUCACUGCACCCUCUGUCACCAGGGUUCAACCGAUUCUCCUGCCUCAGCCUCCCAAGUAGCUGGGAUUACAGGUGUGCACCACCAUGCCCAGCUAAUAUUUGUAUUUUUAGUAGAGAUGAAGUUUCACCAUGUUGGCCAGGCUGCUCUUGAACUCCCAACCUCAGGUGAUCCACCCACCUUGGCCUCCCAAAGUGUUGGGAUUAAAAAUAUGAGGCACCUCGCCUGGCUUGCAAAGCACUUUCCUUCUGUGACCCCACUGAAUGUCUCAUAGGUGACUUUGUAGACUGAAUAAAACACAUUCAAAAGUGGUAUAUGUUUUAAAAGGAAACAUUGUCAUUUGCAACAACAUGGAUGGAUGUGGAGGACAAUAUGUUAAGUGAAAUAAGCCAGGUAUGGAAAAACAAAUACCAGAUGAUCUCCCUUGUAUGUAUAAUUUAAAAAGUUGGAUUCAUAGAAGGAGAGAUAGAAUGGUAGUUACCAGGGGCUUAGGGGUAUGGGUUGGGGAGAUGUUGGUCAAAGUAAGGGAGGAGACCACCUCUCAUAUUGUCUUAUGCCCAAUUUCUGCCUUCCAAGAAAAAAAGAAGUAAAAACUAAAAGGCAGAAAUGAAACCCACAGGCAGACAUCCCGGCGUCAAACCCUGGGCCUCGUUGUUAAAGACCGACCCCUGACCUAAUUGGUUAUGUUAUCUAUAGAUUACAGACAUUGUAUGGAAAAGGACUGUGAAAAAACAUGUACUGUUCUGUUCUGUUCUAAUUACCGGUGCAGGUGCAUGCAGCCACUAGUCACGUACCCCCUGCUUGCUCAAUCCAUCGCAACCCUCUCACACUGACCCCCUUAGAGUUGUAAGCCCUUAAAAGGGACAGGAAUUGCUCACUCAGGGAGCUUUGUUUUUGGAGAUGUGAGUCUGCCUAUGCUCCCAGCUGAAUAAAGCCCUUUCCUUCUACAA